rnacentral:rRNA from 1 species
GCUAAUACCGGAUAAGAAAGCGGAUCGCAUGAUCAGCUUUUAAAAGGCGGCGUAAGCUGUCGCUAUGGGAUGGCCCGCGGUGCAUUAGCUAGUUGGUAAGGUAAAGGCUUACCAAGGCGAUGAUGCAUAGCCGAGUUGAGAGACUGAUCGGCCACAUUGGGACUGAGACACGGCCCAAACUCCUACGGGAGGCAGCAGAG